rnacentral:misc_RNA from 1 species
UGCUACGUGUUAAAAAAUUGUUCGUUGGGUUAGAGAGUCACCCACAACUCCUAACACGAGACACAAGAGAGAGAGUAAAAAAAAAUCCUACAGAAUCUUAAUUUUUUUUUUUCAAAACACACAAAAUCACCUUACACUAAAGCAAAACUGAAACCUAUAAGAACUACAAUGACUCACCCACAAUUAAUUGCACUCAGAUCCCAUGACGGCGAGAGAAACCAACCCAAAAAAAAGAAAAGAGCAAAAAGGGGCCCGCAACACACGUCCUGAGCCUUAUAUACAGCAAACCCAGUGUGUCGCGACACAACUACCCCCUAAGAUCCCAUGACGGCGAGAGAAACCAACCCAAAAAAAAGAAAAGAGCAAAAAGGGGCCCGCAACACACGUCCUGAGCCUUAUAUACAGCAAACCCAGUGUGUCGCGACACAACUACCCCCUAAGGUGCACCGCAACGUAAUACGAUACGAGG